GAUCCUGGCUCAGGAUGAACGCUAGCUACAGGCUUAACACAUGCAAGUCGAGGGGCAGCGGGAUUGAAGCUUGCUUCAAUUGCCGGCGACCGGCGCACGGGUGAGUAACGUGUAUCCAACCUUCCGUACACUCAGGGAUAGCCUUUCGAAAGAAAGAUUAAUACCUGAUGGUAUCUUAAGCACACGUGUAAUUAAGAUUAAAGAUUUAUCGGUGUACGAUGGGGAUGCGUUCCAUUAGGUAGUAGGCGGGG
rnacentral:rRNA from 1 species